rnacentral:rRNA from 1 species
UACGGAGGAUGCAAGCGUUAUCCGGAUUUAUUGGGUUUAAAGGGUGCGCAGGCGGAGUAGUAAGUCAGUGGUGAAAACCUGCAGCUUAACUGUAGAAUUGCCGUUGAUACUGCUACUCUUGAGUAUGGUCAAGGUAGGCGGAAUGUGUAAUGUAGCGGUGAAAUGCUUAGAUAUUACACAGAACACCGAUUGCGAAGGCAGCUUGCUGGGCCAUUACUGACGCUCAUGCACGAAAGCGUGGGGAUCGAACAGG